CAUGAUGUAAUGGAAUUAAGAAUGGGUCAAUGAAAUAUACAGCUCCUUUCUGGAAUGUACCUGUUCUGCUACAACCAUGGAUAUCCUGACCUUUCUGUGCCUUUCAGGGACAAGGGUAAUAGAGGAGUUUCAGACUCCCUCUAAAACAAAACAACAACUGAACAAUAAACAACAGAAAAAGAACACAAAAAAAGACGGUGGUACUCUUUCCCCUUUCCUUGCUUUCUCCUGCUACCAAAACAAACAACAAAAACUACAUUGUCUCAUUGGAUGACGAAGCUAAAAUUUUGUAGCAAAUCUAUAGAAGAAAAGAAGUGGAAAUCUACUCAAGAGCUACUGUAAAACACUGUAUACAAAACAACCACUUUGAUUCACAUUAAA
rnacentral:lncRNA from 1 species